CAGCUGCUGGGGGAAAUGCCCCCAGAUGCAGUCGCUCUGUCCCUAGGGAUGAAGGCUGGCAGAGGAAGGUGCUGUAGGGGCCUGGGUUUGCUCGUGGAGAGGGAGGGGGAGCGUUGUUGGGGGGCCACUGGAAAGCUGGGAGUCCUGCAGCACUUGGGACAAUGUUUUCUCGUCUUUCUACAAAAGGAAGAACAACAUUAAAUCCCUGCUCUGACUCCAUGAGUGUUUAUCUGAUCUAAAGAGUUCAGAAGUUGUGUCCACCUUCACAUUACAAAAUUCCUGUCUGCAUGACGGGAUUUCUUACCUCAGGUUCUCUUUUUUCAGCAGGGAGGUAACGUUCCUACUACUGCAUGUGUGUUUCUCUUAAAUCCAGAGGUGCAUUCUCUCAUGGAUUGUGAAUUUAACUGGAAAUGAUGUGGCUGAGCUUGAAGGUUCUGGAGAGUGGAAGACUUAACAUGCUUGUUCCCACUUCAAAAGAAAGAUGCCUGCUGCCUUUCCCUGGCGCGUGUGGAAUAAACUUGGCGUGCUUAUAAGUCUUUAAAGAGAUGAGUGAUCCCAGCCAAGUUUGAGAAAGGCAGGAGGAGGAAAUGUUUUAAGUUUAAAACUCAUUAAAGCUGAGCUGAACUGUUAAUCCUUUAAGAUGCAGCUAAUGGAACUAGUCUGUAUGCAAAUUAAACCUCUGGGUCUCCACAUUUUU